rnacentral:rRNA from 1 species
UACCAGCACCCCGAGUGGUCGGGACGGAUUAUUGGGCCUAAAGCAUCCGUAGCCGGUCUUGCAAGUCUUCCGUUAAAUCCAGCUGCUUAACAGAUGGGCUGCGGAAGAUACUACAAGACUAGGAGGUGGGAGAGGCAAGCGGUACCUCAGUGGGUAGGGGUAAAAUCCUCUGAUCCAUUGGAAGACCACCAGUGGCGAAGGCGGCUUGCCAGAACGCGCUCGACGGUGAGGGAUGAAAGCUGGGGGAGCAAACCGG